rnacentral:lncRNA from 1 species
GUGAGAACUGGACCCUGAAAUCAGGUUUUCAGAUUUGAAAUGUCAUCCUUUUCACUAGUCUAUAAUAAUCAAUAUGGAAAAAGAGAAUGUUCAGAAUUACUUUCUAUGAUUUUCUGUAACUGAGUCACUCUGGAGGAAGAGUGGUUCAUUGUACUUAUCUGUGAGCACUACCAACUAUCUUCAUCCAUCUGCUUUGCUGCCUCAAGAAAGUUUACCUUACCCAUUUAUCAUAUUUACAAUCCAUUCU